UUCUUCAUCGUAGUUUUAGUUAUUAACUAUAUUUAGGCUCAAAACGACUAAAUUAGUGCCUGCCAUUUCUUUUUGUGAACACUUCACACAAUAAUACACACACACACGUUCAACUGAGAAAGUAGUAAAUGGUCACUUUUCAUAUUUGCACGUUUCCUUGUUGUUGGAAGUACAGUUGUGCACAGUUCGCUGUAGGUCUGACUUCACGAAGUGAGACUAGGAUGAGACUUAUAAGAGGUGAUAAAUUUCUGAUGUUAUGAUAUCAAAUUGUAACAGGGUUUAUUUUGUUUAAUAUUUUUACCCUUGCAAUUCUUUGAAAAUGAAAUCGAAAGACAUGAUGGCUGAAUUUCAGGUUGGUCAAGAAAUAUUACUUUAGUGAUUAUGGUCAGGAUUAACAGUGUCAAAUUUACAUUCAGAAGGAUUUUGCAGAUUUUGAGAGAAACCUUUCUUCAAGAAUACCGGAAAGUUGUUGAGAGGCGUGUUUUUGCCGGUUUGAACCCCGAUUCUGCUUUCUAUCAAUGACCAGUAUUGGCAAUCUAAAGCCUUGACUUUUUUUCAUUAUUUUGGACUAGGCUUCAGUCAGUUUUGCAGUAAAAGGAUAAAGAAUAAUUUCAUUGGGAGGAACAAAGAGGAUUAAACUAAUUAACUUAAAAUAUGCACAUAUAUUUGAUUUAAUAUUUGCACAAACAAAUCUGCAUUCUUUUUGCAUGGAAUCUACAGGGCGGCUAAAUUGUUGCUGGAACUUCUAAUUUUUUGAAUAAAUGCCUUUGUCUUUUCACAGCUCAUUCGAGCUAGCAUCAAUGACAUUCCUUGUUCCUUUCUUUUCUUGUAUUCUUUAUAAACUAAAUAUUAUUUGCACUUUUAUAAUUUUGAUAGUCAUAAUGAAUCUUGCUAUCACGUGCUCGAUCAAACAACGAAUGGAAAAGGAUGUUGAUGAAGUUGAAAAAAUCGACGAUUUCAUAAAUAGGAAAAUUGAAGAACUUGACAGGGAGGUAACAAACUUAUUGUAUGUUUGUAAAGUAUGAAACUUCUAUUUCCUCACAUUGUAUUUAUGGUACACAGAAUUUAUCUAAUAGGCGGAAGCUUGGGUGUGGAAAAAGGUUUUGACUCCUCCUUUCUUUGAUAUAUUUUGAUGUUUUUUUCUUUUCACCUGUUUCUUCGUACUUAUUUUUGUCUUGAAUUUCAUAUUGACGAUGCUUUUUAGUCACAAAUUUAUACUGUUAGAUACUCAAUUUCUAUAUUAGUUUUGCUGUAUCAAAACAUAAUCAAUUUGUAAGUUAUUGCAAAACAAAGAAGUGGUAGCAUCCGUCACAAACCAUUUGUUUGUAGACUAACCUAAUGUUAUCACUGGUGUCUAUAUGGAAGUUUUCCUGCUGGAAAUGAACUGCCACUCCCAGUUUUGUAGCACAAGAAGUUCAUGCUUUGGCUUCAUAUUCCAAAGUCUUGAUGCAUUGUGUUAAUUUCACAUUAAAGUUUGGAUAUUUUACAGUUUAUUUCUCUUUUUGUUUGAGGAGUGGUGUAAAUGAUAAGAAAUGUUAAAGACAGAAUUCUAUUUUUCUCUUUCCUAAUGUUUGGUCAGCAAAAGAUGAAAGGAAAAGUAGUUAUUCUCUUUUGAAGUUUAUGAAUGAAACACAGGUGCACAUAUUAGGACUCUAAUUUUGUUAUAUUUUCUGGAGGUGUAGAAUCUAAUAAAUUAGGCCAUGCCUUUUGUUUUUGUCAACACUUCACAAAAUAAUACACAGACAUGUUCAACCGAAAAAGCAGUAAAUGGUCAGUUUGCAUAAUUGCACGUUUCCUUGUUGUUGGAAGUACAAUUGUGCACAGUUUGCUGUAGGUCUGACUUCCGGAAGUAGGACUAGGAUGGGACUUAUAAGAGGUGAUAAACUCUUAUGUUAUUAUAUCAAAAUGUGACAGUGGCAGUUCUUUACUCUCUGUAUCCCUUUCUUUGUGCACAUUUCACCAUUUGAUUAUACAUCAUUUCACCUUUUCACAAAUAUUUUCCAUGUCUUACAGGCUGAUUUUGUUUAAUAUUUUUACUCUUGCAAUUCUUUGAAAAAGAAAUUGAAAGACAAGAUGGCUGAAUUUCAGGUUCGUCAAGAAAUAACUACUUUAAUAAUUAUGGUCGGGAUUAACAGUGUCAAAUUUACGGUCUGAAGGAUUUUGAAGACAUUGAGAGAACCGUUCGUCAAGAGUAGCGAGAAGUUGUUGAGAGGCAUGUUUUUGCAGGUUUGAACCCCGAUCCUACUUUCUGUCAAUGACCAAUAUUGGCAAUCUAAAGCUCUCAAUUUUUUUUCUUUAUUUUGGACUAAGCUUCAAUUAGUCUUCUAGUAAAAGGAUAAAGGAUAAUUUCAUUGGGAGGAACAAAGAGGAUUAAACUAAUUAACUUAAAAUAUGCACAUAUAUUUGAUUUAAUAUUUGCACAAACAAAUCUGCAUUUUUUUGCAUGGAAUCUAUAGGGAGGCUAAAUUAUUGUUGGAACUUAUAAUUUUUUGAAUAAGUGCCUUUGUCUUUUCACAGCUCAUUUGAGCUAGCGUCAAUGACAUUCCUUGUUCCUUUCUUUUCUUGUAUUCUUUAUAAACUAAAUAUUAUUUGCACUUUUAUAAUUCUGAUAGUCAUAAUGAAUCUUGCUAUCAUGUGCUGCAAUCAAACAAUGAACGGAAAGGAUGUUGAUGAAGUUGGAAAAAUGUCCAGUAUAUUUCAUAAAUAGGAAAAUUGAAGAACUUGACAGGGAGGUAACAACAUUAUUAUACGUUUGUAAACUAUGACACUUCUAUUUCUUCAUAUGGUAUUUAUGGUAUACAACAUUUAUCUAAUAGGCAGAAGCCUGGGUGUGGAAAAAGAUCUGGAGUGGACGGAUCAAGAAUAGCAACAACUCUUUAAUGGAUCCUCCUGUUCUACUCCUUUCUUUGAUAUAUUUUAAUGUUUUUUUCUUUUCACCUGUUUCUCUGCACUUAUUUUUGUCUUGAAUUACAUAUUGACAAUGCUUUUUGGUGACAAUUUUAUACUGUUAGAUACUCAGUUUCUAUAUGAGGUUUGCUGUACCAAAACAUAAUCAAUUUGUAAGUUAUUGCAAAACAAAAUAGUUGUAGCGUCCAUCACAAACCAUUUGCUUUAGACUAAACCUAAUGUUAUCACUGGUGUCUAUAUGGAAGUUUUCCUGCAGGAAAUGAACUGCCACUCUCAGUUCUGUAGUACAGUAAGUUCUUUCUUUGGCUUCAUAUUCCAAAGUUUUGUUGCAUUUUGUUAAUUUUGCAUUAAAAUUUGGAUGUUUUACAGUUUAUUUAUCUUUUUAUUUGAGGAGUGGUGUAAAUGAUAAGAAAUGUUAAACACAAAAUUCUAUUUUUCUUUUUCCUAAUGUUGGUUCAGCAAAAGAUGAAACGGAAAGUAGUUAUUCUCUUUUGAAGUUUAUGAAUGAAACACAGGGGCGCAUAUUUGGAUUCUAAUAUUGUUAUAUUUUUUAAAGAUGUAGAAUCUAAUAAAUUAGGCCCUGCCCUUUGUUUUUGUCAACACUUCACAGAAUAAUACACACACACACACACGUUCAACUGAGAAAGUAGUAAAUGGUCACUUUGUAUAAUUGCAUGUUUCCUUGUUUUGAAGUACAGUUGUGCACAGUUCGCUGUAGGUCUGACUUCAUGAAGUGGGAGUUGGAUGGGACUUAUAAGAGGCUGAUUUUUUUUAAUAUUUUUACUCUUGCAAUUCUUUGAAAAAGAAAUUGAAAGACGGGAUGGCUGAAUUUCAGACUUCGAGGGAAACCGUUUGCAAGGAAUACCAGGAAGUUUUUAAGAGGCGUGUUUUUGCAGUAAUGGGAGCACGAGCUGAUGAAGUGACAAUUCACAGAUUGAUUGAGACUGGAGAUAGUGAACAAAUAUUUCAGAAAGCAAUUCAGCUGCAAGGGUGAGACCAGGUUUUCCUCUUUGUGUUCCUCUUUUUGAAGAAUCUUUUGAACCAUUAAGGAGAAUACAAUUGUAAUGUGGCCAGUUCUGAGAA